rnacentral:rRNA from 1 species
GACGAACGCUGGCGGCGUGCUUUAUACAUGCAAGUCGAACGAUGAAGUUCCUUCGGGAAUGGAUUAGUGGCGAACUGGUGAGGAACACGUGAGAAACCUGCCUUUCAUUCUGGGAUAACACCGGGAAACCGGUGCUAAUACCGGAUACUCCGUCUUGGCGGCAUCGCCGAGCCGGGAAAAAAUUUUGAUGAAAGAUGGUCUCGCGGCCUAUCAGCUAGUUGGUGAGGUAAAGGCUCACCAAGGCGACGACGGGUAGCCGGCCUGAGAGGGCGACCGGCCACACUGGGACUGAGACACGGCCCAGACUCCUACGGGAGGCAGCAGUAGGGAAUAUUGGUCAAUGGGCGCAAGCCUGACCCAGCGACGCCGCGUGAGGGAUGAAGGUCUUCGGAUUGUAAACCUCUUACAGUAGGGAAGAAGCGAAAGUGACGGUACCUAAAGAAGAAGCACCGGCUAGCUAUGUGCCAGCCGCCGCCGUAAAAC